AUAUUUCAUUUACUCCUAAGUAUAUGUUGAAAGAUAUAUAUGGUGAUAGUUAAUCGCUAUCAGAGGAAAAAGGUAAAUGGAAAAAAAGUUAAUCCGCAGCGAAGCUCCUAAAUCCGUUAUGCAAGGACAUGGAGAACGUUCAACGACUAAAUGGAUGUGGGCAUGAAGAAACUAGCACUUUCUAAUGAUUGCUUAAGAUAUAGUCUACUCCCACCAGUGAUGGUGCA
rnacentral:ncRNA from 1 species